AACAAUGAUGAUGAUGAUGAUGAUGAUGAUAGUGGUGGUGGUAGUGGUGGUGGUUUUGGUGGGUUUAGGAACAAUAAAAAAAAUCAGGAUGAUAAGAAUGAAUGAUGGUGAUGACAAUGAUGACGAUGAUGGUCGUAGGUGAUGAUAAUGAUGGUGAUGGUAUUAAUGUUGAUAAGGGUCAUCACUGCCAGAAGGACGAGAAAGAAUGGCGAUGACCUCGUGAAGAUGGUGACGAGAGUGAUGGUGGUGAUGAUGAUGAUAAUGAUGAUGGUGGUGGUGAUGAUGGAGAUGAGAAUGAUGAUGAUGAUGAUGAUGAGGAGGAGGAGGAGGAGGAUGAGGAGGGUGAUAAAAAUGAUGACAGUGAUGUGCAUAAUGAAGAUAAUAAAGAUGAUGAGAAAUGUUAAUUGUAUAAUGAUGUAUUGUUGUGUUACUCGUGCCUGUACAUUUCCUUCACUGACACAUACAAAUAAUUUAAUCAGUCAUUUGCUAACUUUUUCCUGUAUGGCUUUGAUCCCUUACUGCCACGCGUCGCCACUUAAGUACGUAGCGAGCCGAGGAAGAAGAAAGAAGGCGGAGGUCCACCCAGGCGAGCCGUUCCCGCAUCACACAACUUACACGUUAAUUUCUCGCAGAGUAAAGCAAAACACAACAGAUGUGUAUAGAGACUCUACACAGUAUCCUGAAACAUUUCUGCCCGCACCCCGACUACUUUCCUGAGGCUCUAGUUGAAAUUACACAGAUUUUCAGGGUGUUUGUACGGUUCUAGUGACAGACUGAUAAGGUCUCUACAGCAUCAUCCGGAGAAACAAUCUUGAAAACCCGUGUAAUUACCUCUGUGGCCUUUGAAAAUAGUCUGGAGAGAGAGCAAAGCUUUUCAGAACACAGGCACAUAACCUUGCUUCAUGCUUCAUGAAAAACAAGUGCAUUUAUGAUACCUGAGAAUGCCUUGUUGCAUUUCCCCCAUUAGCCUGUCUCUCAUUGGUGAAAACACCCGCACUAUACGUAUUACGUUAUUUCAGUAGACUCAAGUCGCUAUUUCAAGUCUACAUAAGCCUCAAUAAAUACGAGAGCUGAGGUGGUGGCCUGCUUCCCGACUGCCAAUCAGAGUGUUCUAUUUUUCCGUUUUCUUCCUUACUCUUCGUACAGCUCAUGUAUCCUUCAUUUGUCCUUACUUCUUGCCUCACAGUGUAUUGGUAAGUGUCUUCUACUGCUAAUAUAACCGUGAUUCUAUUAUUUUGUAUCAUUACAAGUAGUAUUGCGAGAGUGGCUCUGUUUUUAGUGACAAUUACCUCAGCACAGCCUCCACCAAUCAACACCAAGUAUUCAAGUCACGUGAUACUCUCUCCUCGCCGUCUCCUCAGCCAUUCGCCCUGCGCCCGCUGACGUGACGGGUCUCCGGUUGUGUUACGGCGGUGAAGCGGUGUUGCGUCUGUCCUUGGCGGGCAUGUAGUGGUGGACUGCGGUGUGGAGGGAGAGGUGGAUGCCUUCCUUCUCUCCCCUCCUCCGCUCCCUUCCUAGCCUGCCCGCCACCCUCUCCCCGCUCUUUCUUGCCAACUCUCCCCUGCUCCUCGUGUCCCAGACCUCGUCGAGAAGACACACACCUGGGCGUCUCCAGGAUCCUUCUGACACACAGGGAGGUGUAUCACUCCGCCAGCAGCAAACUUGACGUCAUGGGCCAGGGCAUGCAGCGGCGUGCAGUGCGUGGGUCUGGUGACUGUGUGGCCUCUGAUGAAGAGGUGUGUGAGCUGCUGGACGAGAGAAGAGCAAACGAAAAGUAAACAUGGGAUUGCUGCCGCCUCAGGACACUAGGAGCAUUGCGGAGGCGCUGAGGAAGACAUCACAACCCUUGACACAGCGAACACAACUCUGUACUGAGGCUGGCACUGGCUUCUCCCAACACCUCACGUGGUCAUUGCAACAAAAGGAGCAUCAACCCGACCUGAGCCGACUGUGGGAGUGACAAAUGGUUCCCUGGACGCCGUGUGUCACCGGAUUGCAGGCGAGCGUCAGGCGGACCAUGAGUCGGGACGCUGCCAAGUCCGUUGACCAGAACCUGACCAGGAAAAUUCAAGAAGCGUGGCCUUGACCUUGCUCAGCAGUUGUGCCCUCACCUGACCUACGUUAUGUUGCUCUGCGUUCAUUGUUUCUGGCAAAGUGAGUUAGUGCAGCCGUGCGUUCAGUGUGUCACCAUAAUUUGCAAGCAGUCGAUUUCCUGCUCUACUUUACCAGGUGGUAUUUGUUUUGAAAGAGAGUUGAGAAGUGGAUUAUGUCAUGCUCUCAACCUAAAUUUUAUACUUCUUUAUUCAUAACUGCAUCAACAGACCACCUGGGAAAAGUAAUGCUUUGUGCCUCUGUUUGUUUUCAUUUCACGACACGGCAGGAAGGGAGAGCACGACCACAGAGCAAAGAAUUCAAGAGAUACCUCUUUGUAUUCUGGGAAAAUAGGAUGCGUAUUUCUGGUCGUCCUUCAGAGAAGCUAAUGUUAUACAUGCGUAUGCCAUUUAAAUUCAGCGAAGAAAUUUGAGAAAUACUUCUGGAAAACUUUUUAACGAACUCCUAUCGUUAAAUCUUCAUAAGAAACGUUUGCACCAUAAAGUAACGAAAUUUUAAGCCUCACAUCCAGCAUCAGAGACCAUAAGAGCCACAGCAAGGUGUAUUCGAGGAACAGUGUUAAGAUGUGUAUAAACAAAGUAAAAUAUACGUAGUGCUGACAGGCAUCACAGAAAAGAAAACUUGUAAUAACAUUUCAAAGGAAAAACUUUUAACCAGUACAGUGUUGCGCUUUGUCAGAGAUAGUGGUCUUGUCAGGCUGCAUUUCUUUUUCCUAAGCUUCUUAUUUACCCCGUAAAAUGACAGAAAAGGGAAAAUAA